UACGGAGGAUUCAAGCGUUAUCCGGAUUUAUUGGGUUUAAAGGGUGCGUAGGCGGUCUGAUAAGUUAGAGGUGAAAUCCCGGGGCUUAACUCCGGAAUUGCCUCUGAUACUGUUGGGCUAGAGAGUAGUUGCGGUAGGCGGAAUGUAUGGUGUAGCGGUGAAAUGCUUAGAGAUCAUACAGAACACCGAUUGCGAAGGCAGCUUACCAAACUAUAUCUGACGUUGAGGCACGCAAGCGUGGGGAGCAAACAGG
rnacentral:rRNA from 1 species